rnacentral:lncRNA from 1 species
AUGAAUUGGAUGGGCAUGAUGAAGUUGUAUAGUCAACAUUGGGACUGCGAACUGUAUUUACUUAGGAACAUUGUCCAACAUGAGAGGUACUUAAGAGAACAUAGGAAUGGUUCUCCAAGUCCCUUAAAGCUGCAAGAUCAAUGUAUGGUUGAAGCCGAAGUAACACUAGAUCUCCAACCUCAAAGUGUGGUGUCCAGAUUCAGAAUCGUGGUUAGCUCAUGA